GACGUAGGGCGCGAGCGUUGUCCGGAUUUACUGGGCGUAAAGAGCUCGUAGGUGGUUUGUCGCGUUGUUCGUGAAAACUCACAACUCAAUUGUGGGCGUGCGGGCGAUACGGGCAGACUGGAGUACUGCAGGGGAGACUGGAAUUCCUGGUGUAGCGGUGGAAUGCGCAGAUAUCAGGAGGAACACCGGUGGCGAAGGCGGGUCUCUGGGCAGUAACUGACGCUGAGGAGCGAAAGCGUGGGGAGCGAACAGG
rnacentral:rRNA from 1 species